rnacentral:ncRNA from 2 species
AACUAUGCGCAAGGGAUUGCAGAGUAAAGCCCACAGCCUGACGAAGGAAGUGCGAGGACUUGCAACGAAAAGCCCGACCCAUU